UAAAAAAUUGUCAUUUUGUGAAUGAGGAAAUGACGAGAUUAACCUUAUUUAAAGUGUGGAAAUGUUAAUAGCGGGUAGCUUGAACAUUAUGUAGCCGAGUAGGUCCCGAAUGAUUUAGAGCCAAUAGGUUCUGGAUUUUGGAAUUCGCCCAUGUGAAUUUUUUUGAAGCCCCAAAAAAUAGAUGUAAUUACUUGUAGAAUAUAUGUUGGUGGCGGGGUGGUGAUGGAGGGAGGUGGGAGUGUAUUGAAGGUGAGAAGAAGUUAUCAGUGGGUGUCAAUGGAUUAUCGUCGGAAGAUUCACGUGGAUGGCAGUAUGAACUAUUGACGGAAGAGUCAGUAACCAGGUUGGAGGAGAGCACGGUAAUGUAGUGUGCUGGAGCUGUUUCGGUCUAUUUAAAAGCCAUUGGAGCGGUGAUUCUGCGGCUGGUUUUCUCAGAAUCCAAGAUGGUGCUGUCCAAAUUUAAAGUGGAAAAAUUUGACGGGUCCAACGAUUUUAGCUUAUGGAAACUGAAGGUACAAGCAUUGUUGGUUCUACAAGGUUCAGAAACAGCAUUAGAGGGUAAAUAAAAACUAUAAUCUGCAUUAUCUCCUGAAAAGAAAGAGGAGCUAAUGGUCAAAGCAUGGAAUACUAUAAGGUCAUGCUUAGCAAAUAAUGUUCUGCGAGAGGUUAUGGAAAUGAAGACUCCUGAUUCACUAUGGAAGGCUUUGGAAGAAAAAUAUUCCGCAAAUACUUUGUCUCACAAAUUGCAUCAAUGGGAGCGAAUGUGCAAGUUCAAAUACCUGGAAGAAAAGUCAAUGCAAAAUCACAUAGAAGAAUUUGAUCGAAUGAUAUCCGAUGUUAGAGCAGCUGGAAUAAAAGUGAAAGAUAUUGAUCAAGUUGCGAUUUUGUUGAAUACAUUACCUCCAUCCUAUGAUGAUGUUUGUGAUACCAUACACUAUGGUAGGUCUGACAUCUCAAUUAAAGAUGUUAAAGAGGAAUUGAUGAUAAAUUAGAAUUUGAAUCCAACAAUGGCAAGUGUACAAACAGGUUGUUUGUGAUGAGAGGUUGUAGUAAAAAAAGAAGAUCGGAAAGCAAGAGCACGACAAGAUCAAAGUCCCAAAAGCUUAAAUUGGUGACAUGUUACCAUUGUCACCUAACGGGGCAUAUUAGAAGAAAUUGCCCAACGAGAGAAGGAAAGUCAGAAAAUUCUAACAACAUGAUCAUUGAAAGUUUUCAUGAUACGGAUACUGGUUUUGCCUUAUCUGCGUUCCCGAAUGAUCAUGUAAAUGAGUAGGCUAUGUUUACUUUUUUUCAUAAGUUGUUUAUUUAUUUUUGGGAGUAAUAUUUUCUGUCAUUUGAGUUUUUUGGGGUUUUGCUAUAUGCGUUGUGAAAUAAUUAGUGGAUGUCUUAAUGCUAAAUCAAAGAAUUGUUAGUGACUUGUGACUUGUAUAUGCUUUAAUAAUUUUGCAAGCCAACUUUCGGUGCCA